GGAAAAUUUAGGUUUUGUGAUAUAAGAAUUGUGGGAAUGUAGCUCAGAUGGUAGAGUGCUCGCUUAGCAUACGAAAGAAUCAUGGGGAUGUAGCUAAAUGGUAGAGCGAUCACUUUGCAUGCGAGAGAUACGGCCUGCAUCUCCAAAGGAACACUAUCAAUAAUUAAGUUUAGGAUUUUGUGACAUAAGAAUUUGGGGAUGUAGCUCAAAUGGUAGAGCGCUCGCUUCGCAUGUGAAAAGUACAAG